rnacentral:rRNA from 1 species
GAAUUCGAUUAACGCGAAGAACCUUACCCAGGCUUGAACAGCGAGUGACAAUCUCCGAAAGGAGCCUUCCGCAAGGACACUCGUAGAGGUGCUGCAUGGCUGUCGCCAGCUCGUGUCGUGAGAUGUUGGGUUAAGUCCCGCAACGAGCGCAACCCUUGUUUGCUGUUGCCAUCAGGUAAUGCUGGGCACUCUGCAAAGACUGCCGGUGAUAAACCGGAGGAAGGUGGGGAUGACGUCAAGUCCUCAUGGCCUUUAUGCCCAGGGCUACACACGUGCUACAAUGGCCGGUACAAACCGCCGCGAAGGAGCAAUCCGGAGCCAAUCGGAGAAAACCGGUCUCAGUUCGGAUUGUAGUCUGCAACUCGACUACAUGAAGUUGGAAUCGCUAGUAAUCGCAGAUCAGCAUGCUGCGGUGAAUACGUUCCCGGGCCUUGUCACACCGAAUCACUA